GGGCGGGGAGCUUCCCGAGCUGCGGGUCACUUGGUCCCUGCAGGUAGCUUUUCACCCACCUUCGCCGGAUCAGAGGCCCGGACAGGAAGCGACGACUUAUGGCGGGGACCUAGUCGUUGCCUCUUCCAGUCCUGGCUCUUUCCUACUGAAAAUCUUUGACCUUCAUUGGAAGCCCGGAGCCUCGCUGGACUUGAACCCCAAAGACACGACGCUGUGAUGUCAAGGCGGCCAGACGGCCGGAACAGGCCCUGAUGCCCCCCGCGCGCCCUUGGUCCUGCGGCCCGCCACCGCCGCCCUCCAGGAGUGUAGCUGACUACAGCCCGAAGCCGCUGAGCGCAGAGCGAGCCGAAUGGAAGGACAGCGCAGGCCAACGUAACGCCCUGAUCUGCGCUGUCCCACAUGGCAACCACUAGCCACAGCCACGUGAAAUGUGACUAGUCCGAAUUGAGUUGUGCUGUGAAACACACAUGGUAUUUUGAAUACCUAGCAUGAAAAAAAUAUGUAUUGAUUACAUGUUGAAAUGAUGUUUUUUGAUAUAUUGGUUUAAAUUAAAAUGCCUUAUUAAAAUUAC